CAUGCAAGUCGAGCGGAGUUUUGAAAAGCUUGCUUUUCAAAACUUAGCGGCGGACGGGUGAGUAACACGUGGGCAACCUGCCCUUGAGACGGGGAUAACUCCGGGAAACCGGAGCUAAUACCGGAUAACACAUAUCUUCGCAUGAGGAUAUGUUAGAAGGUGGCUUUUAGCUACCACUCAAGGAUGGGCCCGCGGCGCAUUAGCUAGUUGGUGAGGUAACGGCUCACCAAGGCGACGAUGCGUAGCCGACCUGAGAGGGUGAUCGGCCACACUGGGACUGAGACACGGCCCAGACUCCUACGGGAGGCAGCAGUAGGGAAUCUUCCGCAAUGGACGAAAGUCUGACGGAGCAACGCCGCGUGAGUGAUGAAGGUUUUCGGAUCGUAAAGCUCUGUUGUUAGGGAAGAACAAGUAUCUGUUAAAUAAGCAGGUACCUUGACGGUACCUAACCAGAAAGCCACGGCUAACUACGUGCCAGCAGCCGCGGUAAUACGUAGGUGGCAAGCGUUGUCCGGAAUUAUUGGGCGUAAAGCGCGCGCAGGCGGUUCCUUAAGUCUGAUGUGAAGGCCCACGGCUCAACCGUGGAGGGUCAUUGGAAACUGGGGAACUUGAGUGCAGAAGAGGAGAGCGGAAUUCCACGUGUAGCGGUGAAAUGCGUAGAGAUGUGGAGGAACACCAGUGGCGAAGGCGGCUCUCUGGUCUGUAACUGACGCUGA
rnacentral:rRNA from 1 species